rnacentral:lncRNA from 1 species
UGUUGAAUUUUAUCUCCAUUUAUGAAAAGAUUUUGUUUAGAGAACAAAUUUUUUUCUUAUUUCAAUAUUGUUUUAUGUUAUUCUCUUUAAUAUCAUCCCUUUAUGGGAUCUACCAUUAGACCUAAACAUAUACUAUAGGAAUACCUCAUGGGCCUAUGAGAAGAAUGAGAAGAAAGAAGUGUGUGUGUGUGUGUGUGUGUGUGUGUGAACUGUAUCAACUGCUGCCAUGAGUUUGAAAUAGGGAAUAAAUUGGCCACACUAAGAAUAGUCUUUACCUUCUGUUAUAAUGUGAAGGUGAAACAGAAUAAAUUUCUAGGUGAAUUGUGUAAAAUGUCUUAUAAAAUGAUAUAGUUUCUCAUCCUUUUUGACUUGAAUUUUACCAUAUCUCAUAGGAGAUGGAAAGGUGUAUAAGAAGAGAUUACUAGAUAGUGUGAAGUCUCUCAAAGGGAAAAAAAUCAGUGUCAAUAACCUGGACACCCUUAUGGAAGAAAUGGAAAUCCAGCUUGAGAAAGAAGACCGUGUGGACUUACUGACCCAUCUGCCAAUUGAUGGUAAGUAUGUCAGGUACCACUAUGUGUAGGGGGAAUCUUGGGGUUUCUAUAUAUAAGGGUU